GAGAGAGAAAGAGAGAGAGGGACAGAGGAGAGAGAGAGAGAGAGAGAGAGAGAGAGAGAGAGAGAGAGAGAGAGAGGACACAGGUGGGCACAAGAACACUAUGCUCUUCCAGGCCAUGCCCCCAGUGACCCACCUCCAACCAGGCCCCAGCUUCUAACAGCAAGUUGGCUAUAGAGCAUCCUACUCCAGUGACCUUCCAAAUGCCGCUCCUCUGAAUACAUACUACUAUACUACUACUCUGGGAGGACAUUUAUCUCUCACCCUAACACAGAUGUUUAGCACACAGCUUGGUAAACAGGGCUAGGAUUGGGGUGAGUGCCAGGGAUGCAUGCAUUGUGUGAACACUUGCCUUGCCAAUGCCUUACUUGUCUUUCUUAUUUCAUGGUGUCCUGGCCCCGCUGGCGAAUGGAGAUGAGCUCUGCUGUUAUUAAAGGAAGUCCUGCUGUUGGCUGGCUUGGUCUCUCUGAGCCCCAGCGGUGACUGUGGGCACGGUUCGCUCCCUCUCUGGGCUGCAGUUCUUCCAUCUGUUUAUUUUAGCUGAACAGAGAAUAAAGAGGCCUCAGGGAGGCACCCUCAGAACACUGAGACUGAAAUGAAAAAGAUGAAAUUCAUCUCAUAAAACUUGAUCAGCAAUAAGAUGAGUCAUGUCACAGACAGGACCAAAGAAGGAAGAGCAGAGACCAGCAGAAAGGACUGUAAGUUCAACUGUGCUGCCUGCCUGACCCAGAGACCUGUUUGCUGGUGGACCCCAGGGCCAGCAUGCCUGCUGAUAUCCCUGUGUGCUUUUCUGGUUUGUUUUGGGGGGACCUGGCAAGAUGGAGGGCAGAGUCUCUGGGACCUCCAGAGCCUUUGCAAAAGGAUAGAGCAAAAAGCAGGGUGCUUUGUGGAGAACAAUCUUCUCCUCACUCCUAGAGUUGAGCCUAGGUAUGGUAAUGAGACCAGAGAGAGGGCCUGAGUGCUAGAUGGGUUCUAGUGUCCGCUGCUGCCACAUACAAGGAGCACCUACUCUGUGCAAGUAUCACACUCAGAGCCAGCCUGCUGGGAGAGGCAGGCUCACACAUCCACCUCCAGGGCUUUUGGCUCUAGCCACAUGAAAAGAAUGAAGUGGAUCACCGCUGAGCAUGUGCUCCAUACAAGGGAUUGUACUGUUUCUCUUUUAUUUGUAGAGAAAUAUGAGGUGCUUGUUCAUGGCUACAGAGUUAGAAGGAGGUUAAGUCAACACUCAGGCCCAGGUUGGUCUUUCUUCAAGUUCACCUUCUUCCCAUUUUGCUCAGUAAGAUCAGCUUUGGAGGCAUGGAGUCACUUUUCCAAGUCUCUAGGUGAGAACCUGCUGUGUUUUAACUUUCUGCAGGAAGGUGGGGGAGAUCAAAUGAUUGCUGCUCUUUCUACCACCACAUCCUGAUGUGAAGCACUUUGUACCCAUUUAGUUCAGCUCAAGUCAGUUCAUCAUUUUUAAGCACUCACUGGCACCAGGCACUGUGCUGGUCAGUAGAACCCAGACAUGCACCUUUGCUGUUAUGAAGGACACAGUGACAUUUCACCAUUGUAACCAGACUUCCCAAUGAGAGUUUCU
rnacentral:lncRNA from 1 species